rnacentral:misc_RNA from 1 species
GUGUAGAGCCAGGCGCGCAGGUCGCCGCCGAGGAAGAGCUUUUCCGAACGCAGCGCCCGCACCAGGGUGUCCUGCACCAGAUCGUCGGCGAUGUCGGUGUCCCGCGCCAGCGCCCGCGCAUAGCGCCGCAGGGCCGGAAUCAUGGUCUCGACGCUGUGGCGGAAAUCGUUGCUCAUUCAGUUCGUCCGGUCCGGCGGCUCACAGGCCGUUCUACUCUGAAAACACCGAAAACGCGGGAGUAUUCCGCUGUUUCUGCCCGUUAUGGUCAGGACUUGCGCCGCUUGUCCGGGUUGAA